rnacentral:rRNA from 1 species
GAUGAACGCUGGCGGCGUGCCUAAUACAUGCAAGUCGAGCGAACGGACGAGAAGCUUGCUUCUCUGAUGUUAGCGGCGGACGGGUGAGUAACACGUGGAUAACCUACCUAUAAGACUGGGAUAACUUCGGGAAACCGGAGCUAAUACCGGAUAAUAUUUUGAACCGCAUGGUUCAAAAGUGAAAGACGGUCUUGCUGUCACUUAUAGAUGGAUCCGCGCUGCAUUAGCUAGUUGGUAAGGUAACGGCUUACCAAGGCAACGAUGCAUAGCCGACCUGAGGGGGGGAUCGGCCACACUGGAACUGAGACACGGUCAAGACUCCUACGGGAGGCAGCAGUAGGGAAUCUUCCGCAAGGGGCGAAAGCCUGACGGAGCAACGCCGCGUGAGUGAUGAAGGUCUUCGGAUCGUAAAACUCUGUUAUUAGGGAAGAACAUAUGUGUAAGUAACUGUGCACAUCGUGACGGUACCUAAUCAGAAAGCCACGGCUAACUACGUG